rnacentral:rRNA from 1 species
UUGGAGGGCAAGUCUGGUGCCAGCAGCCGCGGUAAUUCCAGCUCCAAUAGCGUAUAUUAAAGUUGUUGCAGUUAAAAAGCUCGUAGUUGAAUUUCGGGAUCAAUUUAUUGGUCGUGCCAACGGUACGCACUGGUACAAUUGGUUUCUCCCUUCUGACGAAGCAUGAUGUCAUUAAUUUGAUGUCGUGGGGAAUCAGGACUGUUACUUUGAAAAAAUUAGAGUGUUUAAAGCAGGCUUUGGCUUGAAUACAUUAGCAUGGAAUAAUGAAAUAGGACGUUUGAUCUUAUUUCGUUGGUUUCUAAGAUCGACGUAAUGAUUAAUAGGGAUAGUUGGGGGCAUUAGUAUUCAAUUGUCAGAGGUGAAAUUCUUGGAUUUAUUGAAGACUAACUACUGCGAAAGCAUUUGCCAAGGAUGUUUUCAUUAAUCAAGAACGGAAGUUAGGGGAUCGAAGACGAUCAGAUACCGUCGUAGUCUUAACCAUAAACUAUGCCGACUAGGGAUCGGAUGAUGUUAAUUUUUUAAUGACUCAUUCGGCGCCUUACGGGAAAC